rnacentral:snoRNA from 1 species
AACCUUUUAAAAGCACUCAUUGGGCCUUUUGCCAGUGACCCACUGAGCCGUCAGGAAGGGGGGACGCGCGGACAUCCGUGUGGUGGAGCUGCAUUCGGUGACGUGACUGAA